rnacentral:rRNA from 1 species
UACGAGGGGGGGCAAGCGUUUGUUCGGAAUUAUUGGGCGUAAAGGGUGCGUAGGCGGUUUUGAUAAGUCAUCUGUGAAAAUCUCUGGGGCUCAACCCAGAGUCUGCAGGCGAAAACUGUCGGGCUUGAGUAUGGGAGAGGUGAGUGGAAUUUCCGGUGUAGCGGUGAAAUGCGUAGAUAUCGGAAAGGAACACCUGUGGCGAAAAGCGG